rnacentral:lncRNA from 1 species
UCAUUACAUCCGUUCAUAACAUAUCAGUAGCAAGACUUUCUCAUCUUCUUCCAAAGCUCUAUAGAUGAUGGUGAUAGCGAUGUCUUCCGAGCGAUGGAGCCAGAGUGACGCUCUCACAAAUCUCCCAUUCAAAUCUCCCGAGCAAAAAGCGUUUACCACCAAUUUGUCGGCGCCCUCCCCUCCGCAGGUUCCUCUCGCUCGAGCUCGUACUUUUAAAUUUUUUAUUUUCACUUACUCACAAGCGAUUGAAUCGUCUCCAACUCUUUGAUUGAGAUCAUGGUUCCACUUCCCGCAGUCAUUAAGUUAAUCAACUCCCUUUUUUUUCAAGUUCCCUUUGGUAUUUUUUCCACCAAGAGUAACGCCACUCGCCGACUGUCCCUAUUGGAGCUGUCAGAGCAGUAGCUACAGCAAUCACAACAGGCGGUGCACCGAUCGCAACUGCAACGACUGAGAAGAUCACAGUGACCACGAAGGCGGUCACAAAUAUGGCAUUGGUCACCCUUCUGCAAGCUUGUGCAGAUUUAGUUUUUUUUGGCAAGCUUCUUC